UACAGAGGGUGCAAGCGUUAAUCGGAGUUACUGGGCGUAAAGGGCGCGUAGGCGGUCAUGCAAGUGAGAUGUGAAAUCCCCGGGCUUAACCUGGGAACUGCAUUUUAGACUGUGUGACUGGAGUACUGUAGAGGAUAGUGGAAUUUCCGGUGUAGCGGUGAAAUGCGUAGAGAUCGGAAGGAACACCAGUGGCGAAGGCGGCCUGCUGGGCUAUGGCUGACACUGAGGCGCGACAGCGUGGGGAGCAAACAGG
rnacentral:rRNA from 1 species